rnacentral:rRNA from 1 species
GACGUAGGGCGCAAGCGUUGUCCGGAUUUAUUGGGCGUAAAGAGCUCGUAGGCGGCUUGUCGCGUCGACUGUGAAAACCUGCGGCUCAACCGUAUGGUCUGCAGUCGAUACGGGCAGGCUAGAGUUCGGUAGGGGAGACUGGAAUUCCUGGUGUAGCGGUGAAAUGCGCAGAUAUCAGGAAGAACACCCGUGGCGAAGGCGGCUCUCUGGGACGGUACUGACGCUGAGACGCGAAAGCGUGGGGAGCGAACAGG